rnacentral:rRNA from 1 species
GGAUGUGAUCAUACCAGCAGUAAAGCACUGGAUCCCAUUAGAACUCCGAAGUUAAGCGUGCUUGGGCGAGAGUAGUACUAGGAUGGGUGACCUCCUGGGAAGUCCUCGUGUUGCAUUCC